rnacentral:rRNA from 1 species
AGUGAACGCUGGCGGUAGGCCUAACACAUGCAAGUCGAACGGCAGCACAGUAAGAGCUUGCUCUUACGGGUGGCGAGUGGCGGACGGGUGAGGAAUACAUCGGAAUCUACUUUUUCGUGGGGGAUAACGUAGGGAAACUUACGCUAAUACCGCAUACGACCUACGGGUGAAAGCAUGGGAUCUUCGGACCUUGCGUGAUUGAAUGAGCCGAUGUCGGAUUAGCUAGUUGGCGGGGUAAAGGCCCACCAAGGCGACGAUCCGUAGCUGGUCUGAGAGGAUGAUCAGCCACACUGGAACUGAGACACGGUCCAGACUCCUACGGGAGGCAGCAGUGGGGAAUAUUGGACAAUGGGCGCAAGCCUGAUCCAGCCAUACCGCGUGGGUGAAGAAGGCCUUCGGGUUGUAAAGCCCUUUUGUUGGGAAAGAAAAGCAGCAGGUUAAUACCCCGCUGUUCUGACGGUACCAAAAGAAUAAGCACCGGCUAACUUCGUG